GGAAAUACCAUCAAUCAACAAUAUAAAAUAUCUGCUGACUCUACUUCCACGCGUACCCUUUCUUUGCCUUUGAAAUUUUUUCGCAAAUUUAUAUUUCUCUUACGCCUUAAUUUCUGGUAAAUUAUCUUCAUUUCACCGCCUUAAUUUCUGGUAAAUUCAAGCUUCGUAAAUUGGAGAAAUUUGGGAAUCUUCAUUUCACCGCCUUAAUUUUUGGUAAAUUCAACAGGUCUCAGUCAUACAUUUGCAGAGCCCAACCUGAGGAUGAUCAACUCUUUUUUUAUAUCUAUGUAAAUUAUAUGUACAGUACCAUUUUGCAAAACAUGGUUCCUUAAUGUUUACAUAUAUAUCUAUAAUAAAUUAAAAGUGUGAAGA